GGGCAAAUCGAUGCGCUCGCGGCCUAUCAGCUAGUUGGCGAGGUAAUGGCUCACCAAGGCUACGACGGGUAGCUGGUCUGAGAGGAUGGCCAGCCACAUUGGGACUGCGACACGGCCCAG
rnacentral:rRNA from 1 species